UACGAAGGGUGCAAACGUUGCUCGGAAUUAUUGGGCGUAAAGCGCACGUAGGCGGCUUGGCAAGUCGGAUGUGAAAUCCCUCGGCUCAACCAAGGAAGUGCAUCCGAAACUGCUGAGCUUGAGUACUUAAGAGGAUCGCGGAAUUCCCGGUGUAGAGGUGAAAUUCGUAGAUAUCGGGAGGAACACCAGUGGCGAAGGCGGCUUCCUGGACCGACACUGACGCUGAGGCGCGAAAGCUAGGGGAGCAAACGGG
rnacentral:rRNA from 1 species